rnacentral:rRNA from 1 species
UAUAAAUGUAAAAUUAAACUAGAUUAGUAUUAGUUAUGUUCUUGAAAAUUAAAAAUUUUGGCGGUUUUUUAGUCUAUUCAGAGGAACCUGUUCUAUAAAUGAUAGUCCACGAUUUGAAUGUCCUUUAUUAUUAGUUUGUAUAUCGUCGUAGUUUGAAUAUUUUAAAAGAAUUAAAAUAUUCAAAAUUUAUUUAAAUAAGAAAUAUCAGAUCAAGGUAUAGCUUAUAUAAAGGUAGAAAUGGGUUACAUUAAUUUUAAUUAUAGAUUGUUAAUUUAAAAUUAAAUAUGAAAAAGGAUUUGAUAGUAAUUUUUAAUAAAUUUUAAAAAUGAUUUUAGCUCUAAAAA